UGUGUCAUGCACGGUUGUUGGGAAACCUUCCCCCCAACCCCGCAUCUCAUUAGCGGAGAUUCCUCAGACGCUGCAGGUAGCCGUAUGACGUCACGUCCGCUAACUUGUUUCUGGUACCCUAGCAGUGUUGUUGUUUCAGGUGAAAAGGUUUGACGUUCGCAGCUCUUUUGGAGGGAGCCGACUGAAGCGGGGACAGGAAGCAGCAGCGCUCACAGCUGCUGUGAAUACUGCAGUGACUUGUUCACUUUGGAUGAGGGAGCAGAGAGAUAACUGCUGGGAGCUUGGAGCUGGAGCUGGAAGCUUUCACUGAAUGUUGUGACGUUUCUAUCCGCUGCCUGCCACUUUCCCAACAUACAAGCUGCAGCCUUUAUCAACAGAUCCUGUGGGAAAGCGGGCUGUCUCUUUGGACGCAGUGCACUGAUUUGGACGUCACCAGAUGACUUUUGACCUCAGUUUUCUAUACACCAGUGCUUGAAAUUGCAUUGCGCAUUUAAACAUUUAAGAAAUUGUUUUGUUAUUUUUUUUUUAUUUUUAUGAAAUGACCUAAAGUUUUCUAUCUUUUUAUGCUUACAGAAUUCACUUACAAAUGUGAAUCUUCAAAACUAUAUUGCAUUCUCUUAGAGUGACAGUUUGGUGCUGUCAUUUCCAGGCUGAUUUAUGAAAUGUUUUAUUCAUCAAACGGUCGUCGUGAGUUUUUAGUCUUUUCAGCCAAGAUUCUUCAAGUCCUUGCGGUGUAAUGAUGAAUGCUUUCUUUAGAAAAUCUCAUAAAGUAAAAAUGAAAAUAAAAUCAGAUAUUACUCAUCA